rnacentral:rRNA from 1 species
GUUUGUGACUGCAAGGCUAGAGUAUGGCAGAGGGGGGUGGAAUUCCACGUGUAGCAGUGAAAUGCGUAGAGAUGUGGAGGAACACCGAUGGCGAAGGCAGCCCCCUGGGCCAAUACUGACGCUCAUGCACGAAAGCGUGGGUAGCAAACAGGAUUAGAUACCCUGGUAGUCCACGCCCUAAACGAUGUCAACUAGGUGUUGGGUGGGUAAAACCAUUUAGUACCGGAGCUAACGCGUGAAGUUGACCGCCUGGGGAGUACGGCCGCAAGGUUAAAACUCAAAGGAAUUGACGGGGACCCGCACAAGCGGUGGAUGAUGUGGAUUAAUUCGAUGCAACGCGAAAAACCUUACCUACCCUUGACAUGUCCAGAAGCCCUUAGAGAUUUGGGUGUGCCCGAAAGGGAGCUGGAACACAGGUGCUGCAUGGCUGUCGUCAGCUCGUGUCGUGAGAUGUUGGGUUAAGUCCCGCAACGAGCGCAACCCUUGUCGUUAAUUGCCAUCAUUUAGUUGGGCACUUUAACGAGACUGCCGGUGACAAACCGGAGGAAGGUGGGGAUGACGUCAAGUCCUCAUGGCCCUUAUGGGUAGGGCUUCACACGUCAUACAAUGGUCGGUACAGAGGGUUGCCAAGCCGCGAGGUGGAGCCAAUCCCAGAAAGCCGAUCGUAGUCCGGAUCGUAGGCUGCAACUCGCCUGCGUGAAGUCGGAAUCGCUAGUAAUCGCGGAUCAGCAUGUCGCGGUAAAUACGUUCCCGGGUCUUGUACACACCGCCCGUCACACCAUGGGAGCGGGUUCCGCCAGAAGUAGGUAGCCUAACCGCAAGGGGGGCGCUUACCACGGCGGGGUUCGUGACUGGGGUGAAGUCGUAACAAGGUAAC